UACAGAGGUCCCAAGCGUUGUUCGGAUUCACUGGGCGUAAAGGGUGCGUAGGUGGUGAGGUAAGUCGGAUGUGAAAGCUCGGAGCUCAACUCCGAAAUGGCAUUGGAAACUACCUUGCUCGAGGGUUGGAGGGGGGACUGGAAUUCUCGGUGUAGCAGUGAAAUGCGUAGAUAUCAAGAGGAACACCAGUGGCGAAGGCGAGUCCCUGGACAACUUCUGACGCUGAGGCACGAAAGCUAGGGGAGCAAACAGG
rnacentral:rRNA from 1 species